AGUUGUAUACAACACCUCGUCACCCCCGGAGUGUAAAUAAGUAGGUAACUACAGUGAUACUGAUAGAUGCCUGUCCCUCGUUACUACACCCUGAGAACAGUACCAACUUCCGUGGUACUCUGUUGAACGAGGCCACACUUUUUCUAGUUGGAUUGAUUAUUUUCCUGCUGUGCACUUUUUUGGGUUGGAGAUUCAUAGAUGUGUGUUGUUGGUUUCAUAUCAAACGGGUGGAUUUAGAUAACCUACAAAACUGCAAGACCACGUGACUUGAAAACCUCCAACAACACCUCGACCGAUAACCCCUUGUACCAGGACUUCCGGUUCAAAGGUUAUCCAGCUGAGGGAUUUUUCAACCCCCACAACCCACAGUACAAGAGAAAUUCAGCCGCUGAAAUGAAUGGAACGGAUACGAGCAGAUAUUUCGGCAAAACACAACACUUUGAUACAGGUAAUGCCUCUUAUACUUUUUAAUUAUGGUCACAAGCAAAAUGUUAUAGAUGGGACUAAGGUUUAUAUUCGAUCAAUUGUUUUGUUGAUUUUGAAUCGUGCUUUUGAACGGUUGCUGAUAGUUUUGAUUCCUUUUAGAUUAUUAUGGUGAGUAAUUGACCAAUAGAAAGAAAAAAAAACCAGCAUGUCGUUGAAUUAGAAUAGUUAAAAAUAUUAACCCAAAUUAGCAAUGUAACGUAUGUAUAACAAGCUUAUGCUUCCUUACUACAACCUAUAUGUACAUGUAAGGUGCAAGAAAGUAAAGAAACAAUGAGAUACUAGCAAUAACCAAAUUACAAAAAUACAAUAGCUCUCCAUUUGUACACCGUUUACCGCAUGCAACACAGUAGGAGCUAUGAUGGAAGUGAAUAUCUUGCUUGUUUUUCCCAAAACUAACCUUUAUAAUCCAAACACAACGAGGCCUGCGGUAAACCUGGGAAAACGAAGACAACCAGAUCCACCCUACGAUCUAUAUUUGCAAAAAAAAAAAAACUGCAAGGGUACUACAAAUUGGACGAAUUUAUGUCUUGAAGAUUUUAAUGAAAAAUAUUACUAAAAAAAUUGUCUCGUCUGAUGAAAUUUUUAGACAGGAAAACGAUUUCAUUCACAAUUUAGUAGCUAAUACUACUUUGUUCCCCACUCCAUUUCGAUGGUGUUGCCAUGCAGUUGAAAAAUAAUGUUGAUUCGAUUUCAUAUUUUAUAUGAGUUUUCUGAGUAGGCCCAUACAAGUACAUUUUAUUUUUAAGAUUUUUAGUAAGGUUAACUAACAAUACAGCGUACUGUUUAAAUCUAUCAAAACGUUUCACAUAACCAGGUUUUGAGCGCGCCAAAACUGACCGGCCUUCUGCCAGACCGCGUGCAACGCCACCUAUGAGGUCCAGUUCCGGAAUGGACAAUGGUAGUGCAUUGUUACCAUGGUCACCAAAAACUACUACGUCAUAAUUUCGUGUCACGAUUCUUCUCUUUUUUUUGUAACCCAACGGUCACAUACCGUACUUCUGAUCAAAACGAUUGAUGAAUUGGACGGAACAAGAAACCAUGCAUACAUAUUUGGUUGUAAAUGUUCAAAAACUCUGCUCCUUUGAAAACUGUAGAAUCAAUAAUUCAAAACCCGGCAUUCAAAGAGGGCACUCGGGAUUGUAAAACAGAUUUACACGAGUGGCUUCUUCAUAAGGUCUUUGUAUAUGCAUUAUAAAUUGAUUAUAAAGAGAAGAAUCAACUACUUUCACGUUCUUACCGAUAGCGAGAGCUGUAUCUAACCUGCCUAGUUACCCACGAUUGAAUGGAAGCCACAUUAACCCUUUCUACUUGACGGCAGUUUUGAUGUUGAAGAAGUGUUAACAGAGUUGAAGAAUGCGCUAACUUGAUACUUGAUUUCUAGCAUUUUUUGGAUUGUGUUUAUACCUCAUCUUACUUUAGUUGGAGUGAAACUAGGGAAAAUUCAAGUGAUCACACACUUCCUCUUUCAGCAAGAAAGGUUGAGCCGGUCGCACCGAAGCCGCAGGCGCCGGAAAUUGUAACAUACCACCCCGGUGAUGGUAAUAGAAGCUAGCUUCUUAUAGACCCGUUAUGAGUCUUCAUAGCGCAAAACGUUUUGUUACAUGAGUUUUGAUUGGCUAUUUCUUAUUUAGUUACUUUUUUGGGCAGCUAUUUUGCAUUUGCCUUUAAUUCUUCGUGAUUUAUGUUAAUGUAAUGCUUAUGAUAAACAUCUAAAUAUGUUUUGUUGAAAAUGUUUCUGUUGAAUCUCAUAGAGAUGUAUAAUUUAUUCAAAAUUUUGAAAAGUGGCAAACGUUUUGCCUUUUUAGUAUCCAAAACAACUAUCCCCUUUUAAACAAGCACUUCUCCAAUUUUUUAAGCAACUGUGUGAGCUUCUUUGAGUUUCCUUAUUUUCAGUACUAAAUGCACUGUAUUUAUAAUUUAUUAUUUAUGAAUAAAUAAACGUUAAAAAUAUUAAUCUUGCAGGAAUGUGCACUCGGCAAAGUAGUGUUCUAACAUUAAGUUUUGUUGAUUGAACCUUAUUAAAAUUACACUUGAUUUAAUAUCUCCUCUCCGCAAAAUUGAAACGAUAAUCCAAUAAAUGAUGCAUUUUAUGU
rnacentral:misc_RNA from 1 species